UACAGAGGUCUCAAGCGUUGUUCGGAUUCAUUGGGCGUAAAGGGUGCGCAGGUGGCGCGGUAAGUCGGAUGUGAAAUCCCGGGGCUCAACCCCGGAACUGCAUUCGAUACUGCCGUGCUAGAGUGCUGGAGAGGAGAUUGGAAUUUACGGUGUAGCAGUGAAAUGCGUAGAUAUCGUAAGGAAGACCAGUGGCGAAGGCGGAUCUCUGGACAGCUACUGACACUGAGGCACGAAAGCCAGGGGAGCAAACGGG
rnacentral:rRNA from 1 species